UGGACAACUCCCCUGUAGCCAGCCACUCCCAGACCGUCUCAAGCACACAUUCUCCAACCCAGCCAGACAUCUCUCCCCUGUCUUUCCUCAGACUCUAGUCCCAACUUCACCUGAUCUGUGGCCUGUGGAGACUCAGCUUUCUUGGUAGUGCUGUCCAGUGAGCAACCUAAUCACCAAGUUCCCAGAGGCCGGACCUAAACCCCAGGUUUAACCUCCUCGACAUACGCUGAAGACUGCAUAUGGGAGAUACAAUUCUCUUCCUCCAAAUCUUGUCUCUAAAUGACUUGCAUUUGUACUUAGUGUGACACAAAUUCUUUCAUGUAUACAAUUCUAGAUACAUUAAAGGCAUUUAAUUGCUAA
rnacentral:lncRNA from 1 species